rnacentral:rRNA from 1 species
UACGAAGGGUGCAAGCGUUAAUCGGAAUUACUGGGCGUAAAGCGCGCGUAGGUGGUUCAGCAAGUUGGAUGUGAAAGCCCCGGGCUUAACCUGGGAACUGCAUUCAAAACUGCACGGCUAGAGUACGGGAGAGGGGGGUAGAAUUCCAGGUGUAGCGGUGAAAUGCGUAGAGAUCUGGAGGAAUACCGAUGGCGAAGGCAGCCCCCUGGCUGAUACUGACACUGAGGUGCGAAAGACAU